AACUCAGUCGAAAACUCAAGACAGCGCAAAAUGGUUGGUUCUGAAGUCUACACAGAGUCGUUUGGGAGGCUACAACAAGAAGAGGCAAUAGCUGCUGCUGUGCUCCAUGGACGCUGCUUCGAACUAAUUACUGUCAUAAAAAGCUGUAUAAUGUCCUUUUAUAUAUUAACUACAUUUCAUUGUUUCAGUUGUGGUAUUAUUUACCGCGGUCACCUACGCUGUCCUCUUUUUCUAACGAUGUUUUUGUCACUAUCUUGUGAAGAUUCGUGCCUUUUCUUUCGAGGGAAAGACAUACAGAUGGAAGACGUCAAUUAAGGUAAUUUAUUACUAAUAGUUUAACCGAGAGACAUAAAUACAUACACAAAUUUCGCGAGUGGUUCUUUUUGUACUUAUUAAUUUUGGAGGGUAGUUGCUCAUUGAUCGAUAUAUCGGGAUAGACACCCAAACCGUAAAUAAUUAUUUGACUAACCAGUUGGCGCAGCUUAUGGUGGCCCUGCUUUCUGUUCCUCGGGUUGCGGGCUCGAUUCCCGUCUGAGUCUGGAUGUAAUAUUUGUAUUUAUUUAUAUGUAUUUCUUUAUGUGUUAUUUCUAAAUUAUAACAGUCUGCUGUUACUUGUAACACAAACAUUAAGUUGCUUACCAUACGAUCAGACGACCGUGUUAUAAGAUAUUUAUUUAUUUAUUUUAAACAAAGAUCUGCCCUAAAUAAUAAUCGAAUCCGUGACCAUCGCCAUUUUAGGAUAUGCGCACCACCACACCAAACGGUUUGCUGUUCGUUACAAUCAAUGUACUCGUAGAACAAAAACUCAUUUUACCCUCGUUGUCAUUAAAGCAUACUGUUUCGUCUCCAACUAACAUUGCGAUUUUUUAAUUAUUUAUAAUCGUUUUUACAAUACGUUACACUACGCUUUAACUAAGAUUUCAACGUGUACUGAUCGACAGCUUAUAACUAUUUAUAGUAAACUAUAUCUAAAGUGAGAAGUAUUUUUCAAAUUAAUUCCAUAUAUACAUAUAAAAUUCGUGAGAUAAUUAAACUAAUCUUUUAUUUUGUUCUAUUGAUACUCCUAUAAUUGACUUACAGCUUAUUGUAUACUAUAGCUGUACUUUAUAAAGUACAGCUUACCGUAUUAAUAUUUUAUAACACUAUUUUUUAUUUGUAUUUAGGUAGUGUGUUAUAUUACAUUAUAUAGAUAUAAAACCAUUAAUCGUAUUUAUUACUAUCUCACAUGCAAAAACAAAAUUUAUAUGAGUAUUCUUUAAAAUUGAAUAUAUUUAAUUCUUGAAUAUCGUUGGAUGAAAAUCGCAAACGGUAAACCAAACG
rnacentral:misc_RNA from 1 species